AUUGAUUGACAUGAACAAUUUUUUUAGAUCCAGAAUUAGACGACGAUGAUGAACCGGACACCAACAAUAUUCCAAACACACCACAAGAUCAUCCAGGAGUUGAUGAUGGAUUUUUUCCUGUUGAUAUCGGUCCUCGUGUUGGAGAUGACAACCCGAAAAGUGGAACUCCACUGACUAAUAGAGGAAAUGGCAAUGUACCGUCGGGUAGACGGCCUAGCGUUAAUAAUAAUUUUCCGUAUGCACCAGGGUAUGCACCAGGAUAUGAUGGGUUUGAUCCGAUCACUGGUAAUCCGCGAACUAUACCAGAUGUAAACGUGUAUCAACACAAAAAGACUUUAGCCCAAGGAGUGAUGGAUUUAGCGCUGCUAUCAGCAAAUGCCAACCAGUUAAGAUACGUUUUGGAAUCAUAUAAUCGUCAUCCCUACUACGCUUAGUCUUUAUAUCGCUAAGUCUAAUUUUGCAGGUAAGAAUUGAAAUCAGUUAAACUUUAACCUUGACCACGAGCACUGAUUAUGAACAGUCGAUACGAUGUGAAAAAGGACGACCACAUAUGCAAGGCUGAUAAAAUUAAUAAUUUUACAAUUCUCGGUAUAUUUCUAAUAACAAUUGUCAACGUGUUCACAUCGUCAUUUGGUGUGGCUGACCCGCC